UUUGUUUAAGGUGCAUUUGUCACGAGGAUUUGAACCGAUUUGCGAUUUUAUCCGGGAGCGCGUUCCGUCCGGCAGGUCGCAUCUGUAUUGAAAUAAGGACUUUCGCUUCUAGCUAGAUCGGCAGAGGAUUUUCAUUAGUUUGCUGAUCAAUUUUGGGACAGAGGAAACGGUAUCAGGAAAACCGCGGCUGUUACGUUAAACGUGUGAAGAAACCGAACUACGGAGAAACCUGCACAAUCCCCACCGAUGGGUUGGUACCCGAAGAACGCUGCACCAGCUGGAAGCUGGCUAUUCAAAAGAAACGAUCCCGCUACUAUGGGUCAGGUUCUGCUGAUUUUCGGAACAAGUAAUGUAAAUCUGGAAGUUAUUUGGAUAGUUCCGAUAUUCUGAAACGUAUCCGGAAGAUGCUAUUUCCGAAUGUAUUAAUAGUGUGGUACUCUCAAUAAAACAC